GAUGAACGCUGGCGGCGUGCUUAACACAUGCAAGUCGAACGAAGCACUUUGAUCGAUUUCUUCGGAUUGAAAUUUUAGUGACUGAGUGGCGGACGGGUGAGUAACGCGUGGGUAACCUGCCUCACACAGGGGGAUAACAGUUGGAAACGGCUGCUAAUACCGCAUAAGCGCACAGUAUCGCAUGGUACAGUGUGAAAAACUCCGGUGGUGUGAGAUGGACCCGCGUCUGAUUAGCUAGUUGGCAGGGCAACGGCCUACCAAGGCGACGAUCAGUAGCCGACCUGAGAGGGUGACCGGCCACAUUGGGACUGAGACACGGCCCAAACUCCUACGGGAGGCAGCAGUGGGGAAUAUUGCACAAUGGGGGAAACCCUGAUGCAGCGACGCCGCGUGAGCGAAGAAGUAUUUCGGUAUGUAAAGCUCUAUCAGCAGGGAAGAAGAAAUGACGGUA
rnacentral:rRNA from 1 species